GUUGGGCUCCUAUUGUGAGCCAGUUCUAUGCUAGUCAGUGAUGUGUAUAUAAGUUUGAGCCUUUUGGGAGCACUCAUCUCUCUUGCUUGAAGGCAGAGCUGUUUUGAAAAAUGUAGGCUCAUGCGUCUAGGAGUUGAGGGGGCGGAGGGGGGAUGAUUGCAAGUUAGGAGACCUUUAAUCUGUCUUUAUUGCACCAAAAUUUAGUGUUGUAGUUUUGGGAAAAUUACUUAACCUCUCAUCCUUGAAAUGAAGGUGCUGCGAUCUUUCAGGUAUUUCAAGACUGGAAAAUGCUGUGAAUCUGCCGACAGCUCAGGGAGCAGCAUCAUCUGGUAACUGGGAUUGACUGGGAUGUGACAGAAUUCUAUCUCUUGAUGGAGAGUAUAAUCUGUACCUCCUUACAGAUAAGGAUGUCUCUGAGAAACUAAAAAAAUUUGAAGACAAUCACUUCUCUGUGUUGGUCCCUGCUGAGAUGUUUGAGGGACCACACCUAAGAGGAUGGGUGAGGCACACCUUCAGCCUCUUGAGAGGACCCUUUGUGUGACUGAAUUCUCCAUCUAUUUGAUCUUUCGGAAGUGUGUCUGCCACAGUGAUGCAGUGAUUGAUAUCGAUAUGGACUGGGAGAGGCCAGCGUUCCUUCCUAGAGGGUGGCAACCCAGCCAGCUCUUAUUUUCCUGACUAUUCCUUUCAUGUUUCCAAAAUACGAUGCAAUCUGAGACGUGGUUUUGGAUGGUUCAGAAGCAAAGAAGCAUGAAGUGGAGCAGGACUUAAAGAGUGCUGUUGCCUGAAGACCAAGGAACUCAGUCUUUUACAUGUUCUAACAGGCGGGACACCUACCACAGCAUGGCGUGCCAAACGGUGCCGUGUCCACACCUGGGAUCCGAAGCGGCGAACCCCGGGCUGCUGAGAAGUGGAGCGUGUGAACUUAACCGCUGCGCCACCAGGCCAGCCCUUCUAAUGCAUUCUUGAUACUUCAGAACGAGUGAUAUUUUAUUUUAUAAUUUAUAUUUAAGAAUUAUCAGAAGGAUACAUGUAGAUAGUUUAAAAAUUGAACACUAGAGAUGUAUUUUAAUAAAACCUUCAUGCCUUCCCUUUACUCCAAUGGAACAUACACACAUACAUAUAUAACCAAGAAAAUACCCAUAAAUUCCUAUUUUAUUGGGUGAUUUUAACAUGAAUGGACUCUAAAUUAUGUUCAAUGCCUUUUUUGGGUGGGAAAUCUAAGAAUCAAUGAAUUUAUAAGGAUUAAAAUCAAAUCAUACAAAGUUUUUCCACUGACCAAAAUGAAGUUGUCAGAAAUCAAGGCAAAAACACAUUAACCAAUAUUUGUAAACAAACCAAAAAACCACACUUCUUCUCAAUAAAAUGUAGGUCAGCAGAAAAACCAGGAGAAACUUUAGAAAGUAUUUUGAGAUAAAUUAAAUAAAACACAAUACAUCACAAAAUAUGCAGUGCAUCUAAAACAAUGUUUCAAUGGACAAUUACGGCGUUAAAUUCAUAUACCAGAAAAAGGGAAAGAUCUCAAAUCAAUGGACUAAGAUUCUAAGCAACUGGAAAAUUGAAUAGAUAUUUAAGCCCAAAUUAAGCCAAAAAAAGUAAAUAAUAAAGAUCAUAGUAGAAAUCAAUGGUAUGCAAAUCAGAAAAAUGAUAGGGAAAAUCAAUGAAACAAAAAUAUAAUUCUUUGGGAAGGUCACCAGCUGGUAAAUCUCUAACGAGGCUGAUCAGGAAAGAAAACAUAGUUUACAAACAUCAAGAAUGAGAGAAGGGCCAUCUCUACAGAUUGUGCAGAAAUUAAUAUUGUAAUAAAAAGAACAUAUGAAAAAUUUUAUCCUUAUAAAUUGGACUACUUAGAUAAAAUGGGAAAAUUCUUUGAAAAAUAUAAAGUACAAACUACCAAAGUUCUCUCAAGAAAGUGGAAUAACCCAAAACAGCCCUAUAUCUAAUAAAGAAAUUGAAUUUGUAGCCAAAAACCUUUACAUAAAGUAAACUCUAGGCCCAUGUGUUUUCAACUGGCAAACUCUUCCAAGAAUUUAAGAAAGACAUAACAUCAUUACAUAAACUGUUCCAGCAAAUAGAAGAGGAAUAAAUACAUCUCAACUCACUGUACAAUACCAUUAUUAUCCUUUACCAAAAUCAA